rnacentral:rRNA from 1 species
AUUGAACGCUGGCGGCAGGCCUAACACAUGCAAGUCGAACGGUAACAGGAAGCAGCUUGCUGCUUUGCUGACGAGUGGCGGACGGGUGAGUAAUGUCUGGGAAACUGCCUGAUGGAGGGGGAUAACUACUGGAAACGGUAGCUAAUACCGCAUAACGUCGCAAGACCAAAGAGGGGGACCUUAGGGCCUCUUGCCAUCGGAUGUGCCCAGAUGGGAUUAGCUAGUAGGUGGGGUAACGGCUCACCUAGGCGACGAUCCCUAGCUGGUCUGAGAGGAUGACCAGCCACACUGGAACUGAGACACGGUCCAGACUCCUACGGGAGGCAGCAGUGGGGAAUAUUGCACAAUGGGCGCAAGCCUGAUGCAGCCAUGCCGCGUGUAUGAAGAAGGCCUUCGGGUUGUAAAGUACUUUCAGCGGGGAGGAGGGGAGUAAAGUUAAUACCUUUGCUCAUUGACGUUACCCGCAGAAGAAGCACCGGCUAACUCCGUG